rnacentral:lncRNA from 1 species
AUAAGUAGAGGAGUAUAGCAUAAUUAACAUCAUAUAGUUGAUUGCUUCAUUACUUGCAGUUGCAGGAACAGCAGUUUUACACAUGGUAUGACAGUGGAAUUGAGGGGGCUUCGCUCCAUGGAAAGCUGCCUUAAAACAUGUAGCUUCAUCAGAGCUCCCCACGCAAUUCAGAAUUAGCCUAAAAUAAUCAAGAACCGGUAGUACUAGUACAAUUGAUUAUAUAUGUGGAUAAUUAUGAAUUGAAUGAUUAUAUGAUUAUUGUACCGUGGCCAAUUCUUGCAUUGGUCACGUCUUGAUUUAUAUAGCAGUCAGUAAUUGAAUUUUACUUAAUGGUGAUCACUAGAGAGUGGAGGCUUUGAUCGAUCAGAUCGCCUCCAUGGAUUUGGUUUCCAUCUCCGGCUGAGCUGGUGGUGGUUGAGCUCGAUCGCUCGAUCAGUUGAGGGAGGAGAAGCUCCAGAGGCUGAUCUCACCUUCGUCCUCCCACUCGGCGGCGAGCGCUUCCGGCGCCGGCGCGAAGAACGUGUUGCAUGGGUCCAUCAUGGAGUAGUCCAUGCACUUGGGCGACCGGAAGAAGGCAUCGAUGUCGGCGAGCGCGGCGUAGUCCACGUCGUCCGCCGCCGUCGGGUCGUCGUGCGCCAUCUCGUGGUCGGCAGUCUCCGGGGAGCUGACGGCCGAGCACGACGACAUGUCUCCGUAGCUGCACGGCGGGG